AGGAAUUACUUGAUAUGAAACUGUUUAUGUUGGACCUUAUAUGCCUUUGUAUUGAUAAUGUUCUCAUUUGUCAUCCCUACAUGACCUGAAUAAUGACAUUGAGGUUGUUAUGAAAUACUUGGUCUGAGGAUAAAUAAAAUUAGACUGCAAAUCUGUACUAAAUCACUAUCAAUAUAUUUUGGAAUAUAAUUAAAAAUGAAUGGUAACAUAUUAGAGUUGAAUUAGAGCAAAAUUGUGAAUAUUAAAUCAGCUACCUUUGUUUCCUCUUUUGUAUUAUGCAGAUUUACAGAUCUUAUAAUGUCAGCCCUGAAUCAAGAGAGAGAGAGAGAGUUUUUGACAUUUUUGUAUUUUUUAUUUUUAUUAUUUCCAAUGGUUAAAUGACAAGCUUAAGUGCAGCCAAAAAUGAAAUUUAAUUUAUCAUAAUUUAUUAUUAAUUUAUCAUUAUCAUUUUUCAUAAUUUACCAUCUCUGUCAUGCCAUUCCAAAUGAUUUUCUUUCUUCUGUGGAACAGAAAAGAAGAUAUUCUUAAAAAUAUUUCAACUUUUUUUUUUUUUUUUUUUUGUCUACAUGGGGUCAAAAAUAACAUUGCAUGGACAACAAAACAAAACAAAACAAAACAAAAAAAAACGGAGAAUUUUAAUUGUCAUAUUUGUGUGAACUAUUCUAGCAUGCAGUUAAUUCAUAUUUACUAUCUUGACAUUGCACAUAUGUAGCUAUCUGAAGUGCAGUGUGGAGAAAUGGUGUGGCCGUUGAGCAUUGGCCGUUCUUACACCACGCUGCUCUUUUCAUCUCACACCAUGUAGUUAGAUAAAAACAGCAUCCAGAAUAACAGCAGACUGUCAAAAAGAGUAGAGUUAACUGACAAGAACAACUUCUUAGCUUGCACUGAUUGCUACACAGAGAAACAAACUAAUCUAAUAAUUGUAGAUAAUACGAAUAUACUGUGUGUACCUGCUGAAACAUAAGCAGUCUAAGUGCUACUUUACAGCUUGUUUGCUUAAAGCUUUAUUACCUGCAUAGUAAAAGUUACCUUAACUUAGAGCUUUCUAAUAAGUUAUAGAAGUGUAAUUUACAACAUAAAGAGAUCUACUAUUUCAGUGUAUGCUUUGCAACAGUGAUUUCUAAGUGCUAGGAAGGUCCACCCACUGGUGAGGUUUUUUUUUUCUUACUAAAAAGUAAAUGAAACUCGUGUACUGGCAUCUUUUGGCGUUAAGAUUGUGACCGUUAAAGGUGACGUUAAAAGGUGCAUCAGAGCCUUGAAAACAUUAACAUGAGUACCUGGAUGUGCUGUUGGAUUUUGUGUUUUUGCAUUUCAGCUUUAAAACCUACUUACUCGUUCAUCCUGACUCAGUCACCGAGCCUCACACACGUCUCAGUCGGUGGCACUGUAAAAUUAACAUGUACAUUUGAACAGAAAGUUUCUUACUGCUAUACUGCUGCAACAUGGCAAAAGUUGAACCUACGGACUGGUAAACUCACAGCAGCGAGGUCUAUCUCUCAGUCUGAUUUUCUUCAACAUGAUGAUAAAACUUGCGUUGUUAGUUUUACAAAUGUAACACCGAAAGAUUCAGGUUUGUACUAUUGCAUUAGCCAUCAUAACUCAAUGGCUGUUAUCGGCAGUGGAAGCAGGGUGAUCGUAACAGAUCACUCUGUUGAGGAACCAAAACUAUCCAUCUUAUACCCACCACAAGAACCUGACUCAUCAUCAGUAGCACUGCAGUGUCUUGUGACCGGAGUCGUCCCAUCUCAAGUGCGGGUGUUCUGGAUGAUUGGAGAGAAAGAGCAUGUUGGAUGGACCGAAUCAGCCUGGACAGACGCCACUGAUUCAGCCAAAGAAUUCACACGUGCUCAUCUCUCUAUUCCUGCAGUGGAGUGGACUGAAGAUGAUGAAAUCCAAUGCUUUGCCGAAUAUAAUGGCAAGAACAUCUCCAAAACUCUGAAGCGAUAUGGAUUGAAUCAAAGAACUAUCUGGCCUCUGUACUGUGGUUUUAUGGCAGCAUUCCUGACUAUAGCUGUGGCCUUCUCUAUUUGUUCAUGUCAAGGUAGACAGAGUGCAGUGACUGCAGAAAUGUCAUCUGUAAUGUUUUACCCUGUGGACCCCAUCAAUUUAGGACAGAAUUUAAGUCCAACAAAAAAAUAAUGGGCAUUAAUCGAGAUCAAAAAUUGAAAAGAAUGUUUGUGUAUGCCAAACCAUUAUUGAAAUGAAAGUUAAUUCAAAUAAAUUUGCAUCCUUCUAAUGGUUUAUGA